rnacentral:rRNA from 1 species
CAGUCGCCGCGGGAAUACGAAGGGGGCUAGCGUUGUUCGGAUUUACUGGGCGUAAAGCGCACGUAGGCGGACUUUUAAGUCAGGGGUGAAAUCCCGGGGCUCAACCCCGGAACUGCCUUUGAUACUGGAAGUCUUGAGUAUGGUAGAGGUGAGUGGAAUUCCGAGUGUAGAGGUGAAAUUCGUAGAUAUUCGGAGGAACACCAGUGGCGAAGGCGGCUCACUGGACCAUUACUGACGCUGAGGUGCGAAAGCGUGGGGAGCAAACAGGAUUAGAGACCCCCGUAGUCCCUGUCUCUUAUAC